CUGAGGGAUGUAUGCUAUGGAAGGUGGGCUAGCUACCUCACAGACCAGACCUGACCAUGAGGGAUGUAUGGUAUGGAAGGUGGGCUAGCUACCUCACAGACCAGACCCUGAGGGAUGAAUGCUAUGGAAGGUGGGCUAGCUACCUCACAGACCAGACCUGACCCUGAGGGAUGUAUGGUAUGGAAGGUGGGCUAGCUACCUCAUACCAGACCUGACCCUGAGGGAUGUAUGGUAUGGAAGGUGGGCUAGCUACCUCACAGACCAGACCCUGAGGGAUGUAUGCUAUGGAAGGUGGGCUAGCUACCUCAGACCAGACCUGACCAUGAGGGAUGUAUGGUAUGGAAGGUGGGCUAGCUACCUCAGACCAGACCCUGAGGGAUGUAUGCUAUGGAAGGUGGGCUAGCUACCUCAGACGAGACCAGACCCUGAGGGAUGUAUGCUAUGGAAG
rnacentral:lncRNA from 1 species